UGGAGAGGAUCCUGUUGCAAGGU
rnacentral:siRNA from 1 species